UAACACACACAAAAGGGGCUUCAUCUUCUUAACACACAAGAAGAAACGGUAGAACCCUCUAAAAAACCAUUGGAGCGGCUCCUACUUCUUCACUCUUGAACACACACAGCAAUGAACCAGACCCCACUCCAUUCACAAAAAAUCAAAAAAAAAAAAAAGCCGCACCCCCCACAACAAAAAUGCCGACACCUCUGCCUAACCAAUUGUCAAAACCGAAACACUCCCAAAGAUAUAUUACAAACACAUAGAUUUUGGAGUUUCAAUGGAGGCAAUUAGCUUAUGUAGCUUCGGUAAUUUUUUAUCUACUGAUGUUUUCUCAACAUCUAAAGAGUAUUGAAUAAAGAACUCUAUUUGAAAACUUUGUUGUGGUGGAUCUACAAAAUCUAACUACAUCUAUUGGAUUUAUGCUUUGGUUUCUGCUUCUAAAAUAUAGAAAUUCUGGAGAAUUGAAGCUCGUUUCUAUUCGAGGUUGCAAUUCCAGUUCGAAAUCAUGGUCCAUAGCUCGCUCGAGGAUUGCUUUUUCUUUGGAGAUUAUUUUGCACUGUACCCGUUGAAAAAUUUUCAGUAACAAAGGUCCAUCUUCCCCAUUGCAACUUCAUUAAUUUUGAAUGUAAUCUUAUUGCUUCUAUUCUUCUGAAGUUGUUUGUUGCUUUAAUUCCCUUGAGAUAUAUGAAUAUAGAAUCGUUGUUUUGAUUCCUUUAAGCUAAGUAUUAAUCGUGCUAUGAUGGGUGUUUUGUUGGUAAAUUUCAUGUAAAUUGUGUAUUAUUUGAUAUCAUUGAUUACAUGGCUAAUUUUUAAUUGUUUAGGAUUU
rnacentral:lncRNA from 1 species